UGACUUUUUUGUCCCUAGGUUAGAAAUAGUUCAAUUCUUACACGUUCCUUAGCAUUUUAACAUAGAAUUUUUUUAUCAACUUUGAUUAACAUUAACAUGCUCCCCUAAGAUUUUUAACAUAGAAUUGUAAUCAAUCAUAACAUGAUCCCUUAGAAUGGUUUGUUCAUUUCUAACCUUUAGAUCAAGAUUAACCUAAAUUCCAAAUCAUUUCAAGCCCUCAGAUUCAAAUUGAUCAAAAGUAAUUUUGAUCAAUUAAAUCUUUUG
rnacentral:lncRNA from 1 species